rnacentral:sRNA from 1 species
GCUGGGUGCAGUGGCACACACCUGUAAUCCCAGCAGCUCAGGAGGCUGAGGCAGGAGGAUUAUGAGUUCAAUGCCAGACUCAGCAAGGACCUAAGCAACUUGGCAAGACUCUGUCUCUA